AGAAUAAGGGUUCGACUCCGGAGAGGGAGCCUGAGAAACGGCUACCACUUCCAAGGAAGGCAGCAGGCGCGCAAAUUACCCACUCUCGGCACGAGUAGGUAGUGACGAAAAAUAACGAGACGGAUCUCUUUGAGGCCCGUUAUCGGAAUGAGAACAAUUUAAAUCCUUUAACGAGGAUCUAGCGGAGGGCAAGUCUGGUGCCAGCAGCCGCGGUGAUUCCAGCUCCGCAGGUGUAUAUCUAUGCUGCUGCGGUUAAAAAGCUCGUAGUUGGAUCUGCGUGCUCGGAACCGGUUGGCUCACUGAGUUCAAACUGGUCUCCGGCGCUUUAUUGGCUGGUUUUCCCUUGAUGCUCUUAACCGGGUGUCUUGGGUGGCUAGCACGUUUACUUUGAAAAAAUUAGAGUGCUCAAUACAGGCGUAAAGCCUUGAAUAGUGGUGCAUGGAAUAAUAGAAUAGGACCUCGGCUCUAUUUUGUUGGUUUUCGGAACGCGAGGUAAUGGUUAAGAGGGACAGACGGGGGCAUUCGUAUUGCGACGUUAGAGGUGAAAUUCUUGGAUUGUCGCAAGACGGACGACUGCGAAAGCAUUUGCCAAGAAUGUUUUUAUUAAUCAAGAAUGAAAGUUAGAGGUUCGAAGGCGAUCAGAUACCGCCCUAGUUCUAACCGUAAACGAUGCCAACUAGCGAUCCGCAGGCGUUAAACAACGACCUUGCGGGCAGCAUCCCGGAAACGAAAGUGUUCGGGUUCCGGGGGAAGUAUGGUUGCAAAGCUGAAACUUAAAGGAAUUGACGGAAGGGCACCACCAGGAGUGGAGCCUGCGGCUUAAUUUGACAACACGGGAAAAUUUACCCGGCCCGGACACCGUAAGGAUUGACAGAUUGAGAGCUCUUUCUUGAUUCGGUGGGUGGUGGUGCAUGGCCGUUCUUAGUUGGUGGAGCGGUUUGUUUGGUUUAUUUUGAUAACGAACGAGACUCUGGCCUACUAAAUAGUGGGCGGAUUCUUUUUGUCCGCAACACUUCUUAGAGGGACAAGCGGUGUUCAGCCGCACGAGAUUGAGCAAUAACAGGUCUGUGAUGCCCUUAGAUGUCCGGGGCUGCACGCGCGCUACACUGAAGGAAUCAGCGUGUUUUCUGACCUUGCCCGAAAGGGCUAGGUAACCCGAUGAAAAUCCUUCGUGAUUGGGAUAGGGACUUGCAAUUAUUUCCCUUGAACGAGGAAUUCCCAGUAAGUGUGGGUCAUAAGCUCGCGUUGAUUACGUCCCUGCCCUUUGUACACACCGCCCGUCGCUGCCCGGGACUGAGCCGUUUCGAGAAGAACAGGGACCGUCGUUGAAGGGCCCUAAUGGGCUUUUCUUUGAUAGAAACUGUUUUAAUCGCAGUGGCUUGAACCGGGCAAAAGUCGUAACAAGGUU
rnacentral:rRNA from 1 species